CCGAGUUUACAACUCCCAAACCCCUGUGAACAUACCACUUGUUGCCUCGGCGGAUCAGCCCGCUCCCGGUAAAACGGGACGGCCCGCCAGAGGACCCCUAAACUCUGUUUCUAUAUGUAACUUCUGAGUAAAACCAUAAAUAAAUCAAAACUUUCAACAACGGAUCUCUUGGUUCUGGCAUCGAUGAAGAACGCAGCAAAAUGCGAUAAGUAAUGUGAAUUGCAGAAUUCAGUGAAUCAUCGAAUCUUUGAACGCACAUUGCGCCCGCCAGUAUUCUGGCGGGCAUGCCUGUUCGAGCGUCAUUUCAACCCUCAAGCCCUCGGGUUUGGUGUUGGGGAUCGGCGAGCCCUUGCGGCAAGCCGGCCCCGAAAUCUAGUGGCGGUCUCGCUGCAGCCUCCAUUGCGUAGUAGUAAAACCCUCGCAACUGGAACGCGGCGCGGCCAAGCCGUUAAACCCCCAACUUCUGAAUG
rnacentral:rRNA from 1 species